UUAAAGCGGCGGGGAUUGGUUUGCGGCCAUUCUCCAGCUCCCACGUCUGCCUUCCGUGCUGAGUGAUUCUACUUUCCUAGGCCCUGGCCAGGAUUUAGGCCCUAUACUGCAAUGAUUCUGCCACCGGAAAGGAGGUUGUGAGCUGGUGACCUGUCUCCUUUCACAAGUACCAAGUGAUAAGACAAGAGAAAAUGAACUCAGGCUGCACCAGAGAUAGAUAGUGUGGGACAAUGUCAGAUCUAGCUGGCACAAACCCUUUGGGAGGAAGCAAAGAAAAUUGAGGAAUCCAAGGAAAAGUAAAAUCUGCAUCGGAAGAAGGU